GGGGUCGUAGCUCAGUUGGUAGAGCACCUGCUUUGCAAGCAGGGGGUCACGAGUUCGAAUCUCGUCGGCUCCA
rnacentral:tRNA from 2 species